UGGGGAAUAUUGCGCAAUGGGCGAAAGCCUGACGCAGCGACGCCGCGUGGGGGAUGACGGCCUUCGGGUUGUAAACCUCUUUCAGCGGGGACGAAGGUGACGUGUACCCGCAGAAGAAGCGCCGGCUAACUACGUGCCAGCAGCCGCGGUAAUACGUAGGGCGCAAGCGUUGUCCGGAAUUAUUGGGCGUAAAGAGCUCGUAGGUGGCUUGUCGCGUCGGGUGUGAAAGCUUGGGGCUUAACUCCAGGUCGGCAUUCGAUACGGGCUGGCUAGAGGCAGGUAGGGGAGAACGGAAUUCCUGGUGUAGCGGUGAAAUGCGCAGAUAUCAGGAGGAACACCGGUGGCGAAGGCGGUUCUCUGGGCCUGGCCUGACGCUGAGGAGCGAAAGCGUGGGGAGCGAACAG
rnacentral:rRNA from 1 species